GUUGUAGUUCCAAUCUGGU
rnacentral:misc_RNA from 1 species